GCCGUGGACUGCGCCUCCAGCACUGCCCGGGAUGCAAGAACCUUCACGGACUGUGAGAACGGUGGUCAUCCGUGGCUCCAAGUCUGCCUGGAAAACAGCUUCCCCGGCAGCUGGGACAGUGAGGGCAGCUCUGGGGACUGCAGCUCACCUGUGGUGAUGCCUUCAGCAUCCCAGAGCCCAGGCAUUUCCUCGGCAGGAAUCAUUAACUCUGCUUCACCAGUGUUAUUUGUAAGGCCUGCUUGUGGGGAGCAUACUCAUCUCCUGGCCAAGGGCUUUGGCCCGGCAAGUGCCUGUACUGAUCAGGGCCAGCCACCUCUGGAGCAGCCUGACUGCGUUUUUUCACCACAGCACUUAGUCUUGCUUUCCUCUGGACCUUCUCACAGUUUGCUUAUACAACACCAAGGACACCGACUGCUUUCCCUGGUGUCUGCUUUCCAAGUGUGGAUGAGAAUGGACGAGCCUGAGUUACAGCCAGCCAGGCUGAUGGUGGAGAAAGUAGUCAGGAAAAUAGCAGAAAGCUGUAGAGCUGAAACAGACCUUGGGCUAGAGGUCUUCUGCCUUAUACUGGAUGAGAAGAAUUUCCUCAAGACAGCUACUUCUUUGAAGUGAAAUAUGCUGCUAUUUCAAGCCUGUUUUGAUGCUUGGGCUCUUGAGCCUCUUGGAUGUUGAUUGUUAGAGCAAUGUUUUCACCUUAGGAAAAAACCUUGUUGCUUCAGCUCCAUAAAGAGCACGGACACUUAUCCGGGAAGAACUAGUGCAAGGCAUGCAACCAGCUUGCUGAACCAAGUG